UACGUAGGGUGCGAGCGUUGUCCGGAAUUAUUGGGCGUAAAGAGCUCGUAGGCGGCUUGUCACGUCGGGUGUGAAAGCCCGGGGCUUAACCCCGGGUCUGCAUUCGAUACGGGCUAGCUAGAGUGCGGUAGGGGAGAUCGGAAUUCCUGGUGUAGCGGUGAAAUGCGCAGAUAUCAGGAGGAACACCGGUGGCGAAGGCGGGUCUCUGGGCCGAUACUGACGCUGAGGAGCGAAAGCGUGGGGAGCGAACAGG
rnacentral:rRNA from 1 species